UACGGGGGGGGCAAGCGUUGUUCGGAAUUACUGGGCGUAAAGGGCUCGUAGGCGGCCAACUAAGUCAGACGUGAAAUCCCUCGGCUUAACCGGGGAACUGCGUCUGAUACUGGAUGGCUAGAGGUUGGGAGAGGGAUGCGGAAUUCCAGGUGUAGCGGUGAAAUGCGUAGAUAUCUGGAGGAACACCGGUGGCGAAGGCGACAUCCUGGACCGGUAUUGACGCUGAACAGCGAAAGCUAGGGGAGCAAACGGG
rnacentral:rRNA from 1 species